GCGUAAGCGACGAAGGGCGUACGGUGGAUGCCUAGGCGCCAGGUGCCGAUGAAGGACGUGGCAGGCUGCGAUAAGCCAGGAGGAGCGGCCAGCACGCGUUAUGACUCCUGGAUCUCCGAAUGGGGAAACCCGUCCGGGCAAACCCCGGACAUCACACGCUGAACACAUAGGCGUGUGAGGGGCACCUGGGGAACUGAAACAUCUUAGUACCCAGAGGAAAAGAGAGUAUUCCCCUAGUAGUGGCGAGCGAACGGGGAAGAGCCUAAACCGGCGUUGUGAACAAGGCCGCAGCCGUUGCAACGCCGGGGUUGCGGGGCCGUCGUGGAGGGGGCUGCGGACUCCUCAGGGAGUUACAAAACCGGCGCGUAGCCGAAGUGCCCUGGAACGGGCCGCCAGAGAGGGUGAGAGCCCCGUAGGCGAAACGUGACCGGUCUCCCGGGCGACGGUUCCCAAGUACCACGGGACACGGGAAAUCCCGUGGGAAGCUGGGUGGACCACCACCCAAGGCUAAAUACACCUGGCGACCGAUAGCGCACCAGUACCGCGAGGGAACGGUGAAAAGCACCCCGGUGAGGGGAGUGAAAUAGAACCUGAAACCGUGCGCCUACAACCCGUGGGAGCCUGCCUUCGGGCGGGUGACCGCGUGCCUUUUGGAGUAUGAGCCGGCGAGUUACGGUCUGUGGCAAGGUUAAGGGAGGCACACCCGGAGCCGCAGCGAAAGCGAGUCCGAAGAGGGCGUCAAGUCGCAGGCCGUAGACCCGAAACCGGGUGAUCUACCCAUGGCCAGGGUGAAGCGCGGGUAAUACCGCGUGGAGGCCCGAACCGGUGUCUGAUGCAAAAGGCUCGGAUGAGCUGUGGGUAGCGGUGAAAUGCCAAUCGAACCCGGCGAUAGCUGGUUCUCCCCGAAAUCGCUUGAGGGCGAGCCUCCGGCCUGUGGUGUCGUGGCGGUAGAGCACUGGAUGGGCUAGGGCCCAUUGCGGGUACCAACCCCAACCAAACUCCGAAUGUCACGUCAUCGGCCGGGGAGUUGGACUACGGGGGAUGAGCUCCGUGGUCGAGAGGGGAACAACCCAGACCGCCCGCUAAGGUCCCGAAAUCCGGGCUCAGUGGGAAAGGAAGUGGUGCCGCGAAGACAGCCAGGAGGUUGGCUUAGAAGCAGCCAUCCUUAAAAGAGUGCGUAACAGCUCACUGGUCGAGUGGCACUGCGCCGAAAAUGUAACGGGGCUAAGUCCGGUACCGAAGCGGCGGGUCGUCGGUUUUAACCGGCGGCGGUAGGGGAGCGUUCCGCGGGCAGUGAAGGUCAGUCGUGAGGCUGGCUGGAGCGCGCGGAAGUGAGAAUGCCGGCAUGAGUAGCGUCAAGCGCGUGCGAAUCGCGCUCGCCGAAAGCCUAAGGGUUCCGACGGAAGGUUCGUCCGCGUCGGGUUAGGCGGGCCUAAGCCGAGGCCGAAAGGCGUAGGCGAUGGACAGCCGGUUAAUAUUCCGGCCCCACCGGCGCUGAGCGAUGGGGGGACGCCGAAGGGUAGGCCAGCCGGGUGGUGGUCGUCCCGGUGCCAAGCGUGUAGGCCGAUGACGGGGGUAGGCAAAUCCGCCCCCUGAGGCUGAGGCGUGAUGGCGGGGCAUACAUGCCCAGAAGUGGCCGAGCCCAUGCGGCCGAGAAAAGCCUCUAAGCGAUGACGCGCCGGUGCCCGUACCGCAAACCGACACUGGUGGGCUGGUCGAGUAGACCAAGGCGAGCGGGAGAACCCUGGUUAAGGAACUCGGCAAAUUGGCCCCGUAACUUCGGGAGAAGGGGCGCCCUGGUGGGUGAAGGUCCACGCGACCGGAGCUCGCCGGGGCCGCAGUGACCAGGCUCCCCCGACUGUUUACCAAAAACACAGGUCUCUGCGAACCCGUAAGGGGACGUAUAGGGGCUGACGCCUGCCCAGUGCCGGAAGGUUAAGGAAGGGGGUGCAAGCUCCCGACCGAAGCCCCGGUGAACGGCGGCCGUAACUAUAACGGUCCUAAGGUAGCGAAAUUCCUUGUCGGGUAAGUGAAGAACUUGCCCCGCCAUCCCGUGAGGGAUGGUAGUACGCCGGCUCAUAUCGGAGAAGCCCUCCUACGCCAGCGGGGGCGUAGUGGGUAACUCCGAGGGAAGUCGUCCUGAGCGCAAGCGAAGGAUUGACCCCGUAACGACUGACCCGAAAGGGGAGGCGCACACACCUCCGGUGCGCAACACGCCGGCUCUCACUCUCGCAGGGUGAAUCCCUGGGAGCCUGUGAACCGCAGGGGGCAACUACGGAGGCAUCCUUCGAAGAAACGGAGGUCGAGUGACAUUCCGUUUACAUCCCUGGUACGUGACAGGUCUCGUGGAGGGUGAAGGGACGUUCUCGGUGAGCUUCAACAGACGACGCAAGCUCGCCGUAGGAAUCGAAACUCGCCCUUCCUUCUCGGUAACGCUCCACCGACGAGAUCUGGAACUGUUGAAAGCGUUGCGGGCGUUCUUCGGAUGUGGGGCGAUCCG
rnacentral:rRNA from 1 species